rnacentral:antisense_RNA from 1 species
UUUUUUAUUUUUAUUUUUUAUGUUUUUAUUUUUUUUUAAGACAAGGUCUUACUCUGUUGCCCAGGUUGGAGUGCAGUGAUGCAAAUUACAGCUCACUGCAGCUUUGAAUUGGGCUCAAGUGAUCCUCCCACCUCAGCUUCCUGAGCAGCUGGGACCACAGAUGUGUGCCACUUUGCUUGGCUAAUUUUGAAAAACUUUUUUUUGUAGAGCCGGAGUCUCCCUAUAUUGCACAAGCUGGUCUUGAACUCCUGGACUCAGGCAAUUCUCCCACCUCAGCCUCCGAAAGUGCUGAGACUAUAGCCGUGAGCCACCGUGCCCAGCCUGAAGCUAGAGGCUCUUUUCAAUAUGUCAUUAUUCUCAUUUGGUUAGGAUAAGAUUGAAGGGAGGGGUAGAAAGUUUCAAAGGCAGAGAGUUUCAAAGGCAUCAUGUUAACAGGCAGUAACACGAUCAAGCCCCACACGAAGGAACCACCAAGACUCAAGUGUGCAUUCUCAUUGUAGGAAGUCUUCUGCUAACUUGUUGAAUUCGUUUGCAAAACGCAAGUGCAGGAAAUGAUUACCUAAUAGAUCAAAUUGGUCCUUCAAUCACAACCAUUUUGUAACAAUGCACUCCAAGAUUAGAUCUUAGCUACUCUUAUUUUCCAGCAAUUAAAAAAAAAAGAAAAAUGAGAUUAUAAACAUAAAUAGCUGUAUGAAAAUAAACUAUA